rnacentral:rRNA from 1 species
UACAGAGGGUGCGAGCGUUGUCCGGAAUUACUGGGCGUAAAGCGUGCGCAGGCGGUUCGUUAAGUCAGCUGUGAAAGCCCCGGGCUUAACCUGGGAAUGGCGGUUGAAACUGGCGAACUUGAAUCUGGCAGAGGGGGGUGGAAUUCCACGUGUAGCAGUGAAAUGCGUAGAGAUGUGGAGGAACACCGAUGGCGAAGGCAGCCCCCUGGGCUGAGAUUGACGCUCAGGCACGAAAGCGUGGGGAGCAAACAGG